GACAGAGGGGGCAAGCGUUGCUCGGAAUUACUGGGCGUAAAGGGCGCGUAGGCGGGCUGACAAGUCUGGGGUGAAAUGCCGCGGCUCAACCGUGGAACUGCCUCAGAUACUGUCGGCCUCGAGGGAGGUAGGGGCGUGCGGAACUGUAGGUGGAGCGGUGAAAUGCGUUGAUAUCUACAGGAACUCCGGUGGCGAAAGCGGCGCGCUGGACCUCUUCUGACGCUGAGGCGCGAAAGCUAGGGGAGCAAACGGG
rnacentral:rRNA from 1 species